CCCACGUUACGGCAGCGUCACAACGCACGGCGAAGGGUCGGCGACCACUCCGACAAGAUCAGGAAAUACUGCCAUCUUUGGAAAAGCCUCAUUGAGAUGAAGAGUCACCUCUGCGAGCACGUCCUGGCCGAGGCAGGCACCAAGGACGGGCAGAAGUCAGCAGACAUCAUCAUCUAUUUGUCAAUAUAUAUUAUACGCACACAAGUAUUUCUUUGAAUGUAGUGAUGAGGGAGAAAUAAUAAUGACUGAACCCAAAAAAAACAUGCCAGUUAAAGCUAUCAGUAAAUGUGCUCUCUGCCUCAGUAAGAAGAAUUUCCACCUGGGCGUACCUGUGUCCCUCCCACUUCUGUACACCUUAAAGCUGUAGGAGGGAACUGGACAGCUGACCCGUGUGGUUCUGCUGCUCUGUUAGCACACAUUAGUGCACCUGUGAGAAGAGCCUGUCAGAGUACAGGUGGUGUGACUGUAUAUAAGCUACAACCGUCCACAAGUCAUUCACUCAUGUUUAAAGGUACACGAGGAGUUGAUUUGUUUAAAAAAAGUCAUUAUAGUUAUGGGUUAUAUACUUUAUUUUAAAACACAGUGUUACGUGGACAUAGCAGGUUAUCAGAUAGUGUUCUGGGUGUUUGUUUCCACUGGGACUCAUCUGCCCCAAGUUACUGCUGCUGAGAUUUAGUUGCCCCUGGAUACACCCCUGCCUGUCUGCAUAUAUGUGUUGUGAAGCUUCUUUAGCAGAGCACCCAGGGGAGAAAGCCUGCUGUCUGCACUCAGUCUUCUGGUGAGGAGAGAGCCGUCCACACCUGGAUGUGAGGGUAAAGCAUUAAAAUCUGAUUUAGUCACAAUAAAGAGGAGACGAUAA